AGAAAGUGUUUUCUUUAGAGCAGCUGGUUUAAACCAAUGUAAAACUGACUCAAGACAGAUUAUUUCCCCGCUGGUAAUAUUUAGAGCUCAAGUGAUUUAUUAUUUAGUGAUUUUUAGGAAAAUUUAAUGAUAUGAAGUAGGUAAGCAUUUUGAUCAUGACUCUACAAUCAACAAAGGAACUUUUUUAGAGUAAAGGAACAUAAAAAGAAGGAAGACCCUGGCAUGAGGUUUCUAUUCUUUAAGAGCACAAGAUUAGUUUACUUGCUUUCCCUAAAAAUAAAUCUGAGCUGUCCUUCAAUUUAAACAUAUAUGAAUUAUGAUCAGACUUACCUGUCAGAUGAUCUCUAUUCCAAUAGAAAUUUCCUAGUAUAGAUUAUUCCUAGAAAAUCUUUCAACUUUGAAACAUUGUCUGGCAUGUAUCACAUUUGUUUAGAAAACUAUUUGAGAUAUCCGUCUUUAAAGUCCUACCUAUGACAAACCCCUAACUCUGCAUAAUCUAAUAACUCCUAAGCUUUUCUCUGCUAUUCUGAUUUCCAUCUAGUCAUCUAUUAUGUGUUAGAGGAAAAUCACAGUCCCUGCUUUGACAGGCACUUUUUCUGCUUCUUGCACUGCUUCUCCAAUAUGGCCAAGUUUAAGGAAAAAAUACUAGUACUAUAAAAAAGUCACUUAAGUUUUUAUUGUAAAACCAAAAUUCAUACAUAUUCAAAUGUAGACUACUUUCCAUCCUGGAUGAUGUCUAUGACCUAAUAUCUGAUCUGUUAAAGACAGAUAAUGAUGAUCAGAGUCCUCUUUUUAAUGACUAGGUUGUAAGGAGGUUACCUAAUUUUAGAAGAAGAAACCAAGGUAUGUUAACUGGUAUAGAAUGAAACUGGGAUAGUUCAAGUUAAAAAAAAUAAGAUAUUAAGAUGAAUUACUUAUGUGAUUUACUAUGUAUGAAAAUAACUUUUUUUGGUGGAGAGGAAGGUGGAUAAGUACAUAAACACCUAGGCCAUGUUAGAGUCAUCACUGGAUAGUAUUUCUACAGUGCCUCACUCUUAGAGAGCUUAAUAAAAUUAAUAAAUCAAAUGAAUUAAUGGUUGUAGUCUGCUGGGCUCUUGUUCUGCGCUCUGUCUGGUUUCUAAGAAAGCUUCCUGAUUGCUUCCAAAAGACUGGGAUAAUCAUGUCCUCCACUGUGGUGAUUGCUGGGAAAACUGAAGCUUAUGUGGCCAGUGCAGUAAGGAAAGAUUUCUCAACACCCAGAAGACUGCAACA
rnacentral:lncRNA from 1 species